UGCUGUGCCUGCCCGGGGAUUGCCCCCAGCAGGCCCAGCUGACCCUUUGCUGUCCCAUCAGCGUUGGCCGCAGCUUCAUGGAGAAGCUGGGAAUGGGCUUGCGCUGCAAGAGCAGGGAUGCCCCAGAUCAGCCCUGUGCCUGGGAUACUGAGGACUCAUCGCUUUCUCUCCUUUCUCUGGCAGAAGACCAACAUGGGAGGACAAGGAGAGCUAUGACACUCUGCACAAGACACACCAGCGCUGUGAUGUCAGCGAGUGUAUUCACACAGAAGGCAGGGAGCAAGCAGAGGAAGAGGGGCCCUGGGAGCUGCUCCUGUGCGCCUCGUGUGCUGCGCAAGGCACCCACCGGCUCUGCUCCGAUUUGAGCGGCAGCAUAAGCACCUGGGAGUGUGACAUCUGUGCUGGCGUGGGCACAGCCUCCAGUGCCGAGUCGCAGCUUGCUGGUCCCAGCACUGCCAGCCAGGAGGCGGCGGGGCCAUCUCAUAGCUCCCCAGCACCUGAUGACAGCAGAUCUGCCUCCACCAGCCAGGCAGCAUUGGAGUCAUCUCCGAGUUCCCAGGUGCCUAAGCGCAGCAGCCUGUCCAG